UUCUCCUGCCUCAGCCUCCUGAGUAGCUGGGAUUACAGCCGCCCACCACCACGUCCAGCUAAUUUUUGUAUUUGUAGUAGAGACUGGGUUUCAUCAUGUUGGCCAAGCUGGUCUGGAACUUCCGACCUCAAGUGAUCUGCCUGCCUCGGCCUCCCAAAGUGCUGGGACUAUAGGUGUGAGCCACUACGUCCGGCCCCAAAACCAAUUUUUUAAAAAGCAGAGAAAGAGUGUGUGUGUGUUUGGAUUCAGGGAAGUCUAUCUACAAGCAAAGGUGGAAAGAAGGACUCACAGGAUCAAUUCAAAAGGCCCAACAUCUGACUGACAGGAGUUCCAGAAUGAGCAGGAAAUGAGAAGAAAUGUUGUCAAAGAAAUGCCAGGUCUCGAGGCAGAACGUGUUCACCAAGCGCCCAGCGCUGUGAGGAAGGAAACACUCGCAGUUGGUGUGACCCCCAGAGGUGCAGGGAUCAGAGGGGACCCUACAGGCUUCUGGGGAGAAGGCUGGCGGCCCGGCCAGCUCUCACCACCGAGGACCACUACCGGCCUUCCACUCCUGUGGGAAAACGCCCUCAGCCCCGAUUCUCUCCCCAGCCCGAUGUCCAGCAGGCGUGAGGUCAGGGUAAGAUGCCUGUAGGCCUGUGAGGCCUCUCAGUGUCUCCUCCCACGUCACAGCCCACUCCAAAACUCAGCGGCACAACCACCAUGGCAGCCCGGGGCUCGGCAGUACAUGGCCAGCAACUUGGCUGCCGUAUGGGCCGGUUCCCUGGGGGUCUCGCUGGGCUUGUCCUCCCAUCUUCAGGCAGCUGGGGACCAGCUGGGCUGACAGAAGCCUCUCCUGCCCCAUGGCCUCUCAUCCUGCAGCCCAGCCCAGGCCUCCUGCAGAGAGGACAGUCCCCACAGCCAAGCAAGAGAGGUCCAGGCCCAGCGCACAAGUGUCGUGCCACCCUCUACCCACAGCAGCUUAGGAGCAUCCCGUUGGCCAAGUGCAUCCAAGGCCGGCCCAGAGCCCAGGGGUGGAGACCAGGACCCGCCUCUUGACGUAGGAGUUGAAGUUACCUUGCAGUGGACCAGGACACCGAGAGAGCAGGGAACGGGGCUGUUCCUACCACACGAGGACUUCUCCGAGCCAGCUUUCUGAGGGUUAACUGAGGGCUGAGGGGUUCAAGAAGGAAGACACAGGCACUGGGACUCAGGGGCAGUGAGGGGCAGCGGGGCCGAUGGCGUGAGGAGCAUCAGGGAGCAGGAGGGAACGGGCCUGGGGCGUGAAUCUGGCCCCACUGUUGCAUGAGUGCUCUUCAGCCGCCCAAAUCCCGUCCCACCGGUAACAGCGUGGCCUUCGGCAGAGAUACAUUAGGUGAAAAGAAAAGCUGGGCUACAGGAUGACAUCUUCAGUGGGAACGAGAGGCAGGCUACGGGAUGACCUCUUCGGUGGGAAUGAGGGGCAGGGGACGGCAGCCCACCUCCAGGAGCUUAAAGAGGAGGCUCCUGUCUGCAGGGACAGGAGACAGAGACGCUGACGCAAGAGGAUUGCUUGAGGCCAGGAGUUUGAGACCAG